UACGUAGGGGGCUAGCGUUAUCCGGAAUUACUGGGCGUAAAGGGUGCGUAGGCGGUCUUUCAAGCCAGAAGUGAAAGGCUACGGCUCAACCGUAGUAAGCUUUUGGAACUGUAAUACUUGAGUGCAGGAGAGGAGAGUGGAAUUCCUAGUGUAGCGGUGAAAUGCGUAGAUAUUAGGAGGAACACCAGUAGCGAAGGCGGCUCUCUGGACUGUAACUGACGCUGAGGCACGAAAGCGUGGGGAGCAAACAGGAUUAGAUACCCUGGUAGUCCCU
rnacentral:rRNA from 1 species